GACGAACGUUGGCGGCGUGCCUAAUACAUGCAAGUCAACUGAAAUACCGGUAGCAAUACUGGUAUGGAGGUGGCGCACGGGUGAGUAACACGUAGGUAAUCUGCCUUCAGGUCUGACAUAACCCAUCGAAAGGUGAGCUAAUAUCAGAUGAUGCAGCGGCUUGACAUCAAGACAGUUGUUAAAGCUUCGGCGCCUGAAGAUGAGCCUGCGUCUGAUUAGCUAGUUGGCGGGGUAACGGCCCACCAAGGCUGCGAUCAGUAGCUGGUCUGAGAGGAUGAUCAGUCACACUGGAACUGAGACACGGUCCAGACUCCUACGGGAGGCAGCAGUAAGGAAUAUUGCUCAAUGGCCGAAAGGCUGAAGCAGCAACGCCGCGU
rnacentral:rRNA from 1 species